GAUGAAGAACGCAGCGAAAUGCGAUAAGUAAUGUGAAUUGCAGAAUUCAGUGAAUCAUCGAAUCUUUGAACGCACAUUGCGCCCCCUGGUAUUCCGGGGGGCAUGCCUGUUCGAGCGUCAUUACAACCAAUCCAGCCCGGCUGGGUGUUGGGCGUUGCGGCCUGCCGCGCGCCUCAAAGUCCUCGGCGGAAGCCGCCCGUUCCUCUGCGUGAUGAUCCAUCGCCGCUUGGGAGUCGGGGGAGAGCGCCUGCACGCGUCGACGGAGACGUCGACUUCAAGGUUGACCUCGGAUCAGGUAGGGAUACCCGCUGAACUUAAGCAUAUCAAUAAGCGGAGGA
rnacentral:misc_RNA from 1 species